UACGAAGGGGGCUAGCGUUGCUCGGAAUCACUCGGCGUAAAGCGCACGUAGGCGGAUUGCUAAGUCAGGGGUGAAAUCCUGGAGCUCAACUCCAGAACUGCCUUUGAUACUGGCGAUCUCGAGUCCGGGAGAGGUGAGUGGAACUGCGAGUGUAGAGGUGAAAUUCGUAGAUAUUCGCAAGAACACCAGUGGCGAAGGCGGCUCACUGGCCCGGUACUGACGCUGAGGUGCGAAAGCGUGGGGAGCAAACAGG
rnacentral:rRNA from 1 species